rnacentral:lncRNA from 10 species
GUGAUAUGAUGCUCCAGAGAAAGAAAGUGCUAUUAAAGAAGAAUCAAAAUUAUGAAGCAAUAAUCAUGCCUCAGAUGGAACAACUAGGAGAGAACACUGGAGUCCAACAGAGAAGUUAUGGGAAAUACCUGAGACACAGAAGGUGAUAUGGUUUGGCUCUGUGUUCCCACCCAAACCUCAUCUCGAACUAUAAUCUCACAUGUCGGGGGAGGGGCCCAGUGAGAGGUGACUGGAUCACGGAGGUGGACUUCUCCCUUGCACUUCUUGUGAUAGUGAAUUCUGGUUGUAUGUUGUGUGCGGCACUUCCCCUUUCACUCUCUCUCUCCUUCUCUAACAUGUGAAGAUAUGCUUGCUUCUCCUUCACUUUCCACCAUGAUUAUAAGCUCCCUGAGGCCUCCCAGUCAUGCUUCCUG